GACGAACGCUGGCGGCGUGCCUAAUACAUGCAAGUAGGACGCUGAAGAGAGGAGCUUGCUCUUCUUGGAUGAGUUGCGAACGGGUGAGUAACGCGUAGGUAACCUGCCUUGUAGCGGGGGAUAACUAUUGGAAACGAUAGCUAAUACCGCAUAACAAUGGAUGACACAUGUCAUUUAUUUGAAAGGGGCAAUUGCUCCACUACAAGAUGGACCUGCGUUGUAUUAGCUAGUAGGUGAGGUAACGGCUCACCUAGGCGACGAUACAUAGCCGACCUGAGAGGGUGAUCGGCCACACUGGGACUGGGACACGGCCCAGACUCCUACGGGAGGCAGCAGUAGGGAAUCUUCGGCCAUUGGGGCAACCCUGACCGAGCAACGCCGCGUGAGUGAAGAAGGUUUUCGGAUCGUAAAGCUCUGUUGUAAGUCAAGAACGAGUGUGAGAGUGGAAAGUUCACACUGUGACGGUAGCUUACCAGAAAGGGACGGCUAACUACGUG
rnacentral:rRNA from 1 species